rnacentral:rRNA from 1 species
UACGUAGGGUGCAAGCGUUAAUCGGAAUUACUGGGCGUAAAGCGUGCGCAGGCGGUUAUGCAAGACAGAGGUGAAAUCCCCGGGCUCAACCUGGGAACUGCAUUUGUGACUGCACAGCUUGAGUGCGGCAGAGGGGGAUGGAAUUCCGCGUGUAGCAGUGAAAUGCGUAGAUAUGCGGAGGAACACCGAUGGCGAAGGCAAUCCCCUGGGCCUGCACUGACGCUCAUGCACGAAAGCGUGGGGAGCAAACAGG